rnacentral:rRNA from 1 species
GAUGAACGCUGGCGGCGUGCCUAAUACAUGCAAGUCGAGCGAACGGACGAGAAGCUUGCUUCUCUGAUGUUAGCGGCGGACGGGUGAGUAACACGUGGAUAACCUACCUAUCAGACUGGGAUAACUUCGGGAAACCGGCGCUAAUACCGGAUGAUAUUUUGAACCGCAUGGUUCAAAGGUGAAAGACGGUCUUGCUGUCACUUAUAGAUGGAUCCGCGCUGCAUUAGCUAGUUGUUAAGGUAACGGCUUACCAUGGCAACGAUGCAUAGCCGACCUGAGAGGGUGAUCGGCCACACUGGAACUGAGACACGGUCCAGACUCCUACGGGAGGCAGCAGUAGGGAAUCUUCCGCAAUGGGCGAAAGCCUGACGGAGCAACGCCGCGUGAGUGAUGAAGGUCUUCGGAUCGUAAAACUCUGUUAUGAGGGAUGAACAUAUGUGUAAGUAAAUGUGCACAUCGUGACGGUACCUAAUAAGAAAGCAACGGCUAACUACGUG